UUCGUCAACGGCUUAUUCGCUUUAUGACGCUCUCUCGCGAUGCUCCCUUAUUCGCUUUUACUUUCAGGUUUCAGCCACAGCGGCUGUUUAUAUUCACUUCUUCAACCCUCAUUUCUGGUUAAAUCAGUACUCACUCUCUACCCGUUUCCUGAUAAUCCCUAAUUUGAUCCAAAUGACUCACUUGUAAUUUCUUAUAAAAAAAAAUUCAAUUCUAAUCACUUCAAUCAACCCCAAUAUCUUGAACACGAAUGUCAGACAUGGAUCCGUCCAAAAAAGUGGCCGAUAGAUAUCUGAAGCGUGAAGUCCUUGGUGAAGGUACCUAUGGAGUUGUGUACAAAGCUAUUGAUACCCAUACAGGGCAGACGGUUGCAAUUAAGAAAAUUCGGCUUGGCAAACAGAAAGAAGGGGUAAAUUUUACAGCUCUUAGAGAAAUUAAGCUGCUAAAAGAGCUCAAAGAUCCAAACAUUGUUGAAUUGAUUGAUGCAUUCCCACAUAAAGGGAAUUUGCAUCUUGUUUUUGAAUUCAUGGAGACGGACCUAGAAGCCGUCAUACGAGACCGAAAUAUUUUUCUUUCACCAUCUGAUACAAAAUCCUACCUGCAAAUGACACUAAAAGGUCUUGCUUAUUGCCACAAGAAAUGGGUUUUGCAUAGGGACAUGAAGCCAAAUAAUUUAUUGAUAGGAUCUAAUGGACAGCUGAAACUUGCAGAUUUUGGUUUAGCACGGAUGUUUGGAAGCCCAGAUAGAAGGUUCACUCAUCAGGUUUUUGCUCGGUGGUAUAGAGCUCCUGAGCUAUUAUUUGGUGCCAAGCAAUAUGGUCCUGGAGUUGAUGUUUGGGCUGCAGGCUGUAUAUUUGCUGAACUUCUUCUUCGUCGACCUUUUUUGCAGGGUACAAGUGACAUUGAUCAAUUAGGAAAGAUUUUUUCAGCAUUUGGCACUCCAACGGCUUCUCAGUGGCCUGAUAUGGUAUACCUGCCUGAUUAUGUCGAAUACCAAUAUGUUCCUGCCCCCCCUCUGCGUUCUUUAUUUCCGAUGGUAACUGAUGAUGCUUUAGAUCUGUUGUCAAAGAUGUUUACAUAUGAUCCAAAAGCUAGAAUUUCAGUGCAGCAGGCACUAGAGCAUAGGUACUUUUCUUCUGCUCCUCUGCCUUCGGAUCCAGACAAGCUCCCUAGACCUGCUCCCAAGAGGGAAUCUAGGACUUCUGAUUUCAAUUUACAGGAGGGUCCUACUGUAUUAUCACCUCCAAGGAAGUCUAGGAGAGUGAUGCCAGGACGUGAUGGGUUUGAAGGAAGUUCUCUGCAAGCAGAUAAGGUUGAUGCCAGUUUUGGUGAUUUCAACUGAUGAUAAUACAGGCAAGAAUGAAUCAGCUCCAAUGUCUGUAGAAUUUUCUAUCUUUGGUUUAAAACCUCCAAAUAGACCUACAAUUAACAGUGCUGACAGAUCAUAUUUGAAACGAAAAUUAGAUCUAGAAUUUCAACAGCCAGAAUGAAUAUUCUGUGGCCGACACAUUCAUACAAACUUAUGGAGGGCAAAAUACAUUUGAAGAAAAGUGGUGAAUCCUCAAAGGCUUGCUAGUAUGUCAUUCUCUAUCCCUGUUUCUCAGUGUGAAGCUACAACAAAUAUGUAACUGAAGAAGUCACUGAAGAUUAGUUGCAGUUCAGAUACCUUAAAGUAACUUCUAUAGAAAAAAAAAUUAAAAACUUAUAUCACACACUCACUCUGGUCCCCCCUUGUACAUUUUUGUUCUGUACGUUUUCAGAGAACUAGUAUACUCGAGUUCAUGGAAAACAUGGAGUGUGAGGACAUUUUCUCGAGCCGUUGCUGUAUAUGGCGCUUGAAAAAAAAAACUUUAGGGGAACUUAAUUUGAAUACAAAUUUGUUAUUGAACAUAAGAAAUUUUUUUAUAUGCAUAUGGACUUGUAGAGUGUGUAUUGUAUGUACUUUAUUGGGAACUUCAGACAUGUGAAUUCCAAUUUUAAUUGGUUGAAUGAUUUUUUUCUUUCGGUGUUUUUA